CCUACGGGAGGCAGCAGUGGGGAAUAUUGGACAAUGGGGGCAACCCUGAUCCAGCCAUGCCGCGUGUGUGAAGAAGGCCCUCGGGUUGUAAAGCACUUUCAGUGAGGAAGAACGCCUGGUGGUUAAUACCCAUCAGGAAAGACAUCACUCACAGAAGAAGCACCGGCUAACUCCGUGCCAGCAGCCGCGGUAAUACGGAGGGUGCGAGCGUUAAUCGGAAUUACUGGGCGUAAAGCGCGCGUAGGUGGCUUGAUAAGCCGGUUGUGAAAGCCCCGGGCGCAACCUGGGAACGGCAUCCGGAACUGUCAAGCUAGAGUGCAGGAGAGGAAGGUAGAAUUCCCGGUGUAGCGGUGAAAUGCGUAGAGAUCGGGAGGAAUACCAGUGGCGAAGGCGGCCUUCUGGACUGACACUGACACUGAGGUGCGAAAGCGUGCGUAGCAAACAGGAUUAGAUACCCUGGUAGUC
rnacentral:rRNA from 1 species